UACGAAGGGUGCAAGCGUUACUCGGAAUUACUGGGCGUAAAGCGUGCGUAGGCGGUUUGUUAAGUCUGUUGUGAAAGCCCCGGGCUCAACCUGGGAAUGGCAAUGGAAACUGGCGAGCUAGAGUACGGUAGAGGAGAGUGGAAUUCCCGGUGUAGCAGUGAAAUGCGUAGAGAUCGGGAGGAACAUCAGUUGCGAAAGCGGCUCUCUGGACCAGUACUGACGCUGAGGCACGAAAGCGUGGGGAGCAAACAGG
rnacentral:rRNA from 1 species